ACGCGGUCCAGAAACCGACUCCCGCGACGGACGGGAGGCCUCACUCUCUUCCGAUGAAGAAGACGUCGAGAUCCUAACCGAUCGUCGGAUGGGCAAACGCCCGCAAUUGAAGCAAGAAGCUCCGGCAAACAACGCCGAACAGCCCGCCGUCUUGGCCAACUCUGAGGUCGCAGCCUUGAUCGCUGCCCUCAAACAAACAACAGAGGCCAUGCAGGCUCAAAAUCGUCGACUGGACGAGC
rnacentral:lncRNA from 1 species